UACGGAGGGUGCGAGCGUUAUCCGGAAUUACUGGGUUUAAAGGGUGCGUAGGCGGCGCAGUAAGUCAGGAGUGAAAGUUUGCGGCUCAACCGUAAAAUUGCUUUUGAUACUGCUGUGCUAGAAUUAGGAUGAGGUCAGCGGAAUGUGGCAUGUAGCGGUGAAAUGCAUAGAUAUGCCAUAGAACACCAAUUGCAAAGGCAGCUGGCUAGACCUAUAUUGACGCUGAGGCACGAAAGCGUGGGGAGCGAACAGG
rnacentral:rRNA from 1 species